rnacentral:rRNA from 1 species
CAGUAGCCGCGGUAAUACGAAGGGUGCAAGCGUUAAUCGGAAUUACUGGGCGUAAAGCGUGCGUAGGCGGUGAGUUAAGUCUGCUGUGAAAUCCCCGGGCUCAACCUGGGAAUGGCAGUGGAUACUGGCUCGCUAGAGUGUGUCAGAGGAUGGUGGAAUUCCCGGUGUAGCGGUGAAAUGCGUAGAGAUCGGGAGGAACAUCAGUGGCGAAGGCGACCACCUGGACUGAUACUGACACUGAGGUGCGAAAGCGUGGGGAGCAAACAGGAUUAGAUACCCGUGUAGUCCCUGUCUCUUAUAC